ACAUACUAAUUACCAUUCAUUAUCGUAUUCAGGGAACUAUUCUCUCAAUAGGUGGCUUCUAAGAUUAUCGUACUAGUGCAGAUACUCCGGUGGAAUGGUUAGUUGUUGCCAUCUGGAGGCGUCGAAAACAGUCACGUCGAGAGCGUCUGCUUUAUAAGAGUUCUGGAUUGGUUAAUCAUAGUGUGUCGUCAUCAAUGCCGUCUUUGAAAACGGCGGACACAUUAGCCUUUAUCAAUGCGUCGUCUGUAUUCAGACAACAGAUAGUCACUGUUUGGUUGAGAGACGAAUGACCUUGUUAUGCACGUGUGACACUUAUGCGUUUCCUUGAAGCACCGGAAGAGGGCUGCUGAUUUGGUGAGUGGAUUUAUACGGUUUAUUGGUCAAACAAGAAUUAAAUGGAAUAUACGAGUAUGUGUUUACGGUUUAUCAAAAGAAUGUAUUAAAAACCAACAACAAUUAAACAGCCACAUAGUCCUUGAUAUUAUUCAUCACUUGCCGUCCACCUAUCGUCAAAACUAUGAAACUAUUUUGUUUAAUGGCGUAAGUGCAAAGAAUUGUGAGAAAUAAGUGUUAGUAGUUGAUUUUCAGCCAGUUAAAGCAAAGCUGAGUGCUUGGGUCACAAGCUUCUGCUUCAACUGGAUAUAAAUAAUACUUUGUCUAGAUAGCCUGCCGAUUAACUUCAUUAGAGUUUAUAAGUUAACUAAAUUCUUCCAAAUUUAGCCCUCACCUCCUACGUUUUGACGUCGAUGAAAGUUGUCAUAUUUUGCAUGUCUUCAAAAGCCAUUGUUUUAUUCUACUUCUCUUGUAACGAAAACAUCAAUAUUUGGUAUGCAAUGUCCGAAAUGCGCCUGUUUCUCUCGUCAGUCACUAUCAAAGAUCGCACUCGACUUGCAAUCUGCGGGUUCGAAUCCCCGUCACACCAAACAUACUCGCCCUUUCAGCUGUGGGGCGUUAUGAUGUAACGGUCAAUCCCACUAUUCG
rnacentral:misc_RNA from 1 species